rnacentral:lncRNA from 1 species
AGGAGAGGCUCGGAUGUUCCAAGGUCGCUGACGAAUCUACUAUUGUCGGAUGCUUCGGGUGCUGACGUUUCAGGCAGGAGUCACCUGCUGUAGGAGCUCGGAUGGAGAUUUUUGUUGAUGAAGUCUGAAGAAGUCUGUCUGGAACUUAUCUGAUGCAGAAGCUCAUCUGGAGAUCAUCUGUCGGGAAAGUCUGAUUUUAUGGGGAGCUUGGUAGGAGGUCGGCCGGCGAUGGACUUCGGAUAGCACUGGGGAGGCUCGGC